rnacentral:rRNA from 1 species
UACGUAGGGUGCAAGCGUUGUCCGGAAUUAUUUGGGCGUAAAGAGCUCGUAGGCGGUCUGUUGCGUCGGCUGUGAAAACCCGAGGCUCAACCUCGGGCCUGCAGCCGAUACGGGCAGACUAGAGUUCGGCAGGGGAGACUGGAAUUCCUGGUGUAGCGGUGAAAUGCGCAGAUAUCAGGAGGAACACCGGUGGCGAAGGCGGGGUCUCUGGGCCGA